GGAUCAUUAUCGAGUUACCGCUCCUUAUAACCCUUUGUGAACAUACCUCAAACGUUGCCUCGGCGGGCAGCCGGAGCCCAGCUCCGGCGCCCGGAGCCGCCUUCUCGGCGCGCCCCACCCGCCGGCGGACCACUAAACUCUAUUGCAACGACGUCUCUUCUGAGUGGUACAAGCAAAUAAUCAAAACUUUUAACAACGGAUCUCUUGGUUCUGGCAUCGAUGAAGAACGCAGCGAAAUGCGAUAAGUAAUGUGAAUUGCAGAAUUCAGUGAAUCAUCGAAUCUUUGAACGCACAUUGCGCCCGCCAGCAUUCUGGCGGGCAUGCCUGUUCGAGCGUCAUUUCAACCCUCAAGCACCGCUUGGCGUUGGGGCCCUACGGCUUCCGUAGGCCCCGAAAUACAGUGGCGGACCCUCCCGGAGCCUCCUUUGCGUAGUAACAUACCACCUCGCACUGGGAUCCGGAGGGACUCCUGCCGUAAAACCCCCCAAUUUAUCAAGGUUGACCUCGGAUCAGGUAGGAAUACCCGCUGAACUUAAGCAUAUCAAUAAGCGGAGGAAAAGAAACCAACAGGGAUUGCCUCAGUAACGGCGAGUGAAGCGGCAACAGCUCAAAUUUGAAAUCUGGCCCCCCGGGUCCGAGUUGUAAUUUGCAGAGGAUGCUUUUGGCGCGGUGCCUUCCGAGUUCCCUGGAACGGGACGCCAUAGAGGGUGAGAGCCCCGUACGGUUGGACAC
rnacentral:rRNA from 1 species